CAUGUCCCUUGAGCGUGUUAAGCUCUCGAAGCCUUGCAACCUCAGCUCGUCUUUUGGCCUGUUCAGCAAUCUCAGACAAUUCUCUAUAGCUGCUCUUUUCAUUGAAAAUACUGGCAGUUUUCUGGUGGUUGAAGCCCAUGCAAGGUCCUCUGAGCAAGAGCCCAUUGAGCUUCUCUCUCUUCUUUACCAUAAUCUUUCUUAGUGGUGAAUGCAGUUUUGUUCUCUAGCAAGUUGAGCCAAGCCUUUCCGCUUAAAACGUAACGA
rnacentral:misc_RNA from 1 species